UACGUAGGGUGCGAGCGUUGUCCGGAAUUAUUGGUCGUAAAGAGCUCGUAGGCGGUUUGUUGCGUCUAUCGUGAAAACCUGCAGCUUAACUGUGGGCUUGCAGCCGAUACGGGCGGGCUGGAGUUCGGUAGGGGAGACUGGAAUUCCUGGUGUAGCGGUGAAAUGCGCAGAUAUCAGGAGGAACACCGGUGGCGAAGGCGGGUCUCUGGGCCGUAACUGACGCUGAGGAGCGAAAGCGUGGGGAGCAAACAGG
rnacentral:rRNA from 1 species